UACGUAGGGGGCUAGCGUUGUCCGGAAUCAUUGGGCGUAAAGCGCGUGUAGGCGGCCCGGUAAGUCCGCUGUGAAAGUCGGGGGCUCAACCCUCGAAUGCCGGUGGAUACUGUCGGGCUCGAGUGCGGAAGAGGCGAGUGGAAUUCCUGGUGUAGCGGUGAAAUGCGCAGAUAUCAGGAGGAACACCGAUUGCGAAGGCAGCUCGCUGGGACGUUACUGACGCUGAGACGCGAAAGCGUGGGGAGCGAACAGG
rnacentral:rRNA from 1 species